rnacentral:rRNA from 1 species
GGUUGUCGUCAGCUCGUGUCGUGAGAUGUUGGUUAAGUCCCGCAACGAGCGCAACCCCUAUUGUUAGUUGCCAUCAUUCAGUUGGGCACUCUAGCGAGACUGCCGGUAAUAAACCGGAGGGAAGGUGGGGAUGACGUCAAAUCAUCAUGCCCCUUAUGACCUGGGCUACACACGUGCUACAAUGGUUGGUACAACGAGUUGCGAGUCGGUGACGGCGAGCUAAUCUCUUAAAGCCAAUCUCAGUUCGGAUUGUAGGCUGCAACUCGCCUACAUGAAGUCGGAAUCGCUAGUAAUCGCGGAUCAGCACGCCGCGGUGAAUACGUUCCCGGGCCUU